GUCGCAUUGUUGUUGGGUCAGGGGACAAGUACAGCUAGUUCGGGUUGAGGAGGGUCAGCUGUUAGGACAUCCAGUCCACCCAAACCUUUAAUCAAUCAUCAAGUGUACAGAAGAAUCAAGACAACCGUAAGAGACGAAGACUGCUUCGUAAUUAGUGGGGACAAGUACAGCUAGUUCGGGUUGAGGAGGGUUAGCUGUUAGGACAUCCAGUCCACCCAAACCUUUAAUCAAUCAUCAAGUGUACAGAAGAAUCAAGACAACCGUAAGAGACGAAGACUGCUUCGUAAUUAGUGGUCCUGGUUGGUUUCUUCGUCGCAGGUUCUUGGUUUGGUCGUCGCAUUGUUGUUGGGUAAGGGGACAAGUACAGCUAGUUCGGGUUGAGGAGGGUCAGCUGUUAGGACAUCCAGUCCACCCAAACCUUUAAUCAAUCAUCAAGUGUACAGAAGAAUCAAGACAACCGUAAGAGACGAAGACUGCUUCGUAAUUAGUGGUUCUACAACAAUGAAGACCCUGAUACUGGUACUAG